rnacentral:SRP_RNA from 1 species
UUACUAGCCCUAUGCGACGGUUUUAGUAGACAAUGGGUCAGGAUGGGAACAUAGCAGCCCACCUACUUUAACUGGGUGCCGUAGGUAACUGGUAGGGG